AUGAUUUCUCAUAGUCGUAGUGGUGAACCAUAAGAGGUACCUAAAUGGAAGCUUGUUCUUCCUACCUCCUACAUGAAUUCUAUGACACAAUAGAGGUACCUAAAUGAAGAUUAAUCUUCUACCUCAUGCUUGAUUAUUGGACUAAAUAAUACAUAUAAUACUUAUACGUAUAUUUACCAUUCGAAUUCUUGAUGGUGAACUUGUGUUCAUUCGUCAAAGUAGUAGAAAUACGUCAUCCAAGACAUAAGACUUGUUACGAUUCUAAUGAAUAUACUACUCAUGAAAACAUUAACCCUUGAGGUUUCAUAGUGUCAAGAACAAGUACUUGAUGUUGAAGGAUGAUUACUUUCGUAUACAUAUGUUCUCGUGUUUUAAUUUCUUAAAUCCUUAAUCUACCGUUAAUCUCCGUUACUCAUACACCUUGUUUCUUCGCAUAGAAGGACUUGGUGUUCCAACCUCCUAAUCAACAACAACCCACUCGCGGAUUCACAAGUAGAAGGCUUGCAAAACCGUUGAGGAUGAUGAUGCUAUGAAAUGAAGUAGCGUUGAUGCCUAGAUACACAUAUAGACGUUUAGGUUUAAUCGUUGUAUC
rnacentral:lncRNA from 1 species